UCAGAAGAUGCCAGCAAGCUUCUGCAGGA
rnacentral:piRNA from 1 species